AGUGUUCUUAGCCCGAGGGCAACUCAGAGUCCAGCAAGAAGGGCUGGGAUUCACAGCAAGCUCAUGUGUCUAGGAUGAUGACGUUCCUUCCAGGAAGAGAACUGGAUAUGACAUUGUUCCCAAGGAAUGAGCCAAGAGAAGCUAUGAGGUACUUUACCUAAGUACCAGUCCAAAAGACACCUGUGUGCCUAGAUACCAUUGAGCUUUCCCAAAUAGAAUGAGUGGUGGCCUCUGUGACCCCACAUGAGAAGUCACUGUCAUGAUUAUGGGCAUACCCAGUUCUGAAGGCAGCAGAGACCAUUGCAGUGGGCUAGGUUUCAAAACUAGGAGAGUCAGCAGGGAUUCUUUUAAGGUAACAUCCUAAGUUCUGAGCUAUAGUUACCCAGCUCUUCCCAGUCCUGAAAAUAGCCUUGCAGACUCUGAAUGCAAUGCACUUAGGCUAUCAUCAGAGGAAAGCAUGCUUGUAUUUCAUUAACACCAGUGUAUAGCCCAGUCAGAACAUGGACCCAUAACAGCCUAGGAUACACUAAACCUCAGGAGUCAUGGACCAAGCCCUGUUCCUGUAUAAUCCCAGGAUGAACCAAGCAAGUCUCCAAAAGACACAAGGAUGUAUCCUGAAACCAAAAGUCCCACGCAAAACGUUCAAACACAAAGAUUCUGGCAUCAGGAACUUCUUGAGUUGCUAUUUAUGGAAGUUCAAGAGGUUCCCCCAAACAAUAUAAGAUCUUUUGACUCUACUGGAUGUCACAGAAAACAAAUUAUACAUUUUAUGUGUAAUAUUUUAAACUCCAUGUGUGCUGAAUAUUCCCAAGAUUACCUGGAUUCAAAACAGAAUUUGUAAUGGCUUCUAGAAGAAAAUAUCUCCUGAUGAUAUUGUGAGCUUUGAAUGACCUUGGAAACCAUAUACUUCUGCUGUUGGCUGUCCCGUUCAGCCUGUCCUCUUCACUGUGCAGGAACCAUCCAAGGGACUGCAUGCCAAGGACUGGGGAAUCACUACAAGUCAUUUGAAGAUUCACUACCUUUUCGGAAGCUUGGAAGGAAAAACAUAAUGAAUAAGCCCAUGAUGAUUUGGUGCUUUUAAUGUUUUUUUGUUUGUUUGUUUGUCUUUUCAACUCUUCAUGUUGUGUUGAUUUAUCCCAGGGCAUCAUUAUCAACCAAAGACCUGCAAUAAACCAGCCAUUCUCACAC
rnacentral:lncRNA from 1 species